rnacentral:tRNA from 1 species
GUGGCUGUAGCUCAGCUGGAUAGAGCGUUGGCCUCCGAAGCCAAAGGUCCCGGGUUCGAAUCCCGGCAGUCACGCCA